AUCCGGAGAUUGGAGGCACG
rnacentral:snRNA from 1 species